UACGGGGGGAGCAAGCGUUGUUCGGAUUUACUGGGCGUAAAGGGCGCGUAGGCGGCGCAACAAGUCACUUGUGAAAUCUCCGGGCUUAACUCGGAACGGUCAAGUGAUACUGUUGUGCUAGAGUGCGGAAGGGGCAACUGGAAUUCUCGGUGUAGCGGUGAAAUGCGUAGAUAUCGAGAGGAACACCUGCGGCGAAGGCGGGUUGCUGGGCCGACACUGACGCUGAUGCGCGAAAGCCAGGGGAGCGAAUGGG
rnacentral:rRNA from 1 species